GCUGGAGGCCAUUAUCCUAAGCCAAUUAAUGCAGGAACAGAACCAAAUACUGCAUGCUCUCACUUGUAAGUGAGAUAAACCUUGGGUACAAGUGGACAUAAAGAUAGGAACAGUAGACACUGGAGACUUCAAAAGAAACGGGAAGGUGAGAGGGGCAAGGGCUGAAAAGCUUUCUAUAUGCUACUAUGUUCACUGUCUGGGUGAUGGGAUCCACAGAAGCCCAAACCUCAGCAUCAUCCAAUAUACCCUUGUAACAAACCUGCAUGUAGAUCCCCAAAUCUAAAAUUAAAAUUAAGUGAAAAAGAAAAUAUGGGCUACGAACAGCUGCAGGGCAUCAGGGCAUUGCCUUAUCCUGAGGACCAUGGCAGGGGGUGGAGGUUGGCAGCGUUCUGAAGUAUUUUCAGCAGGAGGUGCAGAAUUAGGUGCAAGUUUAGGUGGAGAAGGGGUUUCAGGGGCUAUCCAGUGGUGUGGGCAGAGAGUCUGACAGGGGGGACUGCAGUGGCUCUGGCCAGAGGUGGUGGUGCCUAAGUGCGAGCUGUGGCAGUGGCCACAGGGCUGGGGAGCUGUAGGUGGAGUUGGGCAGACCAAGGCCUCUCUCCUCUGGCCAUGGAGCUCCAGAGUCCGCACAGAUGUCUACGGAUCUAGCUCGAAGCCCUCCCGGUCAGCCAGCUCCCUCUCUUUGGCCCCCAUUUGCAAGGUAGAGAAAGUUCGAGCGCGGUGCUCAGGAUGGAAGCAGACUUCUAGGUAACGUUUGGCACUUUGUUUUCCUCCUUCUCAUCUCUGUCUUCUCUGCCACCAAGGUUGACACUAGUGGCCUGGUAACCACAGAGCACAGUCGGCUCCUAUAGAACUCACAGUGUCUCCUGAAGACCCCAAACCUUCUCCAUGCUGUCUGUUUCAAGCCCACAUUCCCUCUGCCCCCACUGUGGAGCUCGGCAGUUGGUAUCUAGUGCUUAGUAACAGGAACCCACGUUUAUGAUUAUUCUUUACAUUAUCCCCAUGAGAUUCAAUUUUCUUCAAUUCAAGUCCUCCCACCUGCACCGCUUUCUCCUUUAAAGCAGGAGCCCUGGCUCCGAAGCCUCAAGGCUUGGCCUCUGGAUUGAUUUGUGACUUUCAACCUUAGUUCCAUCUGCUUAUAAAAACAUAAGUCAUGCCCUUUUUCACUCCAAAAAGUUUUCCCUAGAAGUUGCUGCCUGGGAUAUUUUUCAUUCCAUCUUGAGGGGUAACACUGCUAGUUGUGUGGAGCAGUGAGGCAGCUGGGGCCGUCUCUGUCCAUCUUCCAGCAGCCCCCAGGGGACCUCAGGCUGCCUCUUGGGGCCCACUGGGCAAACUCAGGGAAAGACAGAGUCGGCCUGGCCCACUAUCCUGAAGUGCCUCCACCUGGGCCUGCGCAGCUGCCAGCUGGCUUGAGGCAUGGUGGACCCGCUCUUUUCUGGGACCUCCGAAAGACCACGUGAGUGCGAUAGGAGUGUGUGUGUGUGUGAAGUGGGGGUCAGGUUAUUAGGGGUGGAGGGAACGGAGCUGUUUGAUUAAUGGGUGUCCUGUGAACCUGCACAUUUGCCCAAGGCUGCAUUCCUGGGCUUUCAAACCCGGGCAGUUUGAUAAGCUGGGACCAAAGUCCUCUUUCCACCCAGCAAGAAGAGCAAACAGGGCCACUCACUAAUCCCAGCCCUGGCCUCCGGGGCCGUCUCUCGGCAACCAGCUAGCCAAGUGGCCUUUCACAAGCUAAUCAAUGAGCAUCCCUGGGACCUCUGGGAGACCUGGCCAGCUUGCCUCAGUGGGGCAGGAGGGAGGCCAGGCUCACCCGACCUCCAGCAUGCAGUCUGAAGGCCUGUGCUUAGCCAGCUAGGCCCUCCAUGAUGGAAGCACCUGCUGUCUCCCCUGUUCCUUCCUGCAAUCAUUCCCACCAGGGCAGCUUAUCAGCCAGGCCUUCUCCGUUCCUCCAGUGCCCGACUAGAAUGCUCUUCUCAACUUCCAUAGCUCCUUCCCUAAUCUCCCUCCCCCGGGAAGCUUUCCCUUACCAGCCUCCGGGGGACGCCCCCUUCCCUGCAUCCCUACUACCCCGGAGCCCUGGAUUAUGGUUUAGCACCGGACACUUCUUCAUUCUGUUCCUGUGUGUUGGUUUGGUAUUGCCAACUAGAUUGUAAGCACCUUGAGGGUAGGACUUCAAUUUUGGGAUCGUCCCCAGUUGGGGGCACACUAGUAACUUUGGAAGGAUAAUAUUGGUGAGGGGUGGGCUUGUGGGAACAGGACACAGAUCCAGGGGUAGAGGCAGGCAGCUCUGAGGCCGGGGACCUCAAUCCCAGUAAGAUGUGGAGGGGAGGCUCUGGGAGAUAAAAGGCAGCCGUGGAGUCAGGACUGGGGAAAUGUUUAUUUCUGGGGAGUCACAGCAGGUACAUGGGGGUGUGGGCCCAGCCUGUCUCCAUCCUCCACUCUAGCCUCUGAGAACUGCUUCUCUCCUUGGUGGGGCCCAAGCGAUGGAACUGCAUCUGUGUCUGCACCACUGGCUCCUUGUUCUUGACUACAGAUGAUUUGGGUUGGGAUGGACCCCGGAAGGCCCUCCAGAUUCUCUUCUCUGGAGACUUGGGCUUAGAACUGAGAGAGACACAUCUCCAUCUCUGGGUGUUUGCCUCUGACAAGAUGCAACCAGCUAUGGGCUGUCUGCAGUGAGGAGCAGUGGGAAUCAGAUCGCAAGACAGAAGGAGGAGGCAGAGAUGCACAGAGGAGCUGAGACCAGAAACUCAUAGCCCAGCUUGCAGAUACUUUCGCUUCAUAUAUCAUCUAAACCAACCCUCACUGCCUUCCUAAGAGACACGGAGAACAGGAGCACUGGGCUGGGCACAGGAGUGGGGCCUCUACGGACAGUGGUUUCAGCAAGAGAAGCCUCCUCCUGAAGCAGCCCCGGGAGCCGUCCUCUGGGGAAGCAGAUGGUCCAGGAAGCAAGAGGAGGGAACAGAGCCUCGUACACAGAUGAACAUAACCGGCCAGCCAAGCUUCACUUCCGCUUCAAGCUGAUCUCCCACUUGUGUCUUCUUGUCUCUAUUGAACUAAGUUCCUGAGACCUAAUCCUUCCCAUCACUAGUAUCAGUGCUUUUAUUUUUGUUUUCUACUUAGUUGGAUAACAUAGUGAAGGAAAAUGUGCUAAUAUAAUAGAAAUAAUUGCAUUAAUAAGCCUGGUAAAGCGUCAGAGGCAGUGAGAGCCAUGGCCAGAGCCAAGCUGCUGGCAGCUAGGCAGCACCACCAUACAAAAGCUCAAAAAUUUCUUUCAAGAAAUGCCAUACGGCUGGGUGCAGUGGCUCAUGCCUGUAAUCCCAACACUUUGGGAGGCCUA